AACGCACAUUGCGCCUCCUGGUAUUCCGGGAGGCAUGCCUGUUCGAGCGUCAUUAAAAACCACUCAAGCUCUUUUGCUUGGUCAUGGAAGAUGAGUGCGCCUAGCGUCCUCCCUUUCGAAAUACAAUGGCGGAAAGCUCCAUGUGCCCCGGCGUAGUAAGUUUUUCUUUCGCUUGGAACAUGAGGUGAUCCUGCCACAAACCCCCAAUUUUUCUAGGUUGACCUCGGAUCAGGUAGGGAUACCCGCUGAACUUAA
rnacentral:misc_RNA from 1 species